AUCGGCUGGAACGUGAUGCCUGCCAUGACACGUAACAGUCCCGCUGUCCUGCUAACAGACACACAGGAUGUGACCACCUCCACACAGAUGAAUCCCAAGAACCUGGAAGAAUGACUGGAACAUAAUAGCUGUUUCUACAAAAGCAUGUCAUAAAAGGGAAGCUGCUUUAAGGGCCAAGGAGAAGACUUAGAACACACAAGAUGUCAACUUCAAGACACAAUGCCAGUGAUUCAAGAGAUCUGAACUUACCAGCCUGCUCAUUACAUUCAAUGGACCAAAUCCCUUCUCAAUUUUCAACGGGAUUAGCUGGUCAAUAAUUUAUGACAUUUUCAAGGCUGAGCCAAGGGGUCAGUCAAAUUCAUCUUUACAUCUCCUAAACGGCUCCUGCCACAUAACAGGUUCUCAACAAAUGUUGAAAGAAAGGAAGGGAACUACAAAAGGAAGAAGGAAAUUAAAAUGUGAUGGAAAGAUGAAGUCCAUGUUCUUCAGGAGCUCACAAUCCAGUGUGAAAGGCCAAUAAACAAAAGAUGAAUGGCACAAGGCAGAGAAAUAGGUGCAGAAAACACAAAGGACCCAAGUGUUCUGGGGCAAAGAGAAUGAAGAAACCAAUGUUCACUAUUCCAGGUAAAUCCACAGAGAGAAGCUGACUAAAUCCAUACAGCAACCCCAUGAAG